rnacentral:pre_miRNA from 1 species
UGCCCAGACGCGCUCUGGUCAUUAUUCUAACAUAUCCGGAUCAACUGGAGAGAGAAUUUUUAGAAAGGAUGUUUGUGCACUUGUUCAACCUGUUUAACAAUCACAAUCAGAUCACAAAAGAUUAUACUGACACUAAAUUCAUCUGAUCUAGUACUUUAUUUUUCCGCAUAAUGCCUCUUGUUUUGACUACUUGAUCAUUUUUAGAUGUUUGUCAAUGGAUGGCACGAGGGUAAAAGCGCCAUUUAUAAAAUUUAAUCUCUCCAAUUGAGCCAGAUGUGUUAAAAUAAUGACCAUAGUAUGU